rnacentral:rRNA from 1 species
UACGUAGGGUGCAAGCGUUAAUCGGAAUUACUGGGCGUAAAGCGUGCGCAGGCGGUGAUGUAAGACAGGUGUGAAAUCCCCGGGCUUAACCUGGGAACUGCAUUUGUGACUGCAUCGCUGGAGUGCGGCAGAGGGGGAUGGAAUUCCGCGUGUAGCAGUGAAAUGCGUAGAUAUGCGGAGGAACACCGAUGGCGAAGGCAGCCUCCUGGGCCAGCACUGACGCUCAUGCACGAAAGCGUGGGGAGCAAACA